AUUGGGUCUUGAGCGAGGUCACCCGUUGGCACAACUCUAGUGUGACCACACAGAGAUCUCUGGUAUGUUGCCGCUGUCUGGAGGACCCCAUGGCCCUGCAGUUUGGGAAGGAGGGGCUUGUUCUCACUGGUAGAGGUCAUCCCAGAUGGCUGUGUGCUGUCACUGCGGAUGCUCUAAAGAAGUUACAGGGAAGCUCUGCUCUUCUGUGACAGGGCAGCCGUUACCCUACGUGUGGAGAUCACAGAGUGUUCAGAGGGAGCCUGGAUCCUGCAAUCUAGAAAUACGGAGAUCCAGCUCCUCAGUCCUGCUCCAUCCUCCCGCUGCGUGACAGCACAGCCCAAAAGAACUGCAUUUCUGUGGGAGCUAUGGCCUGUGGCUCUGCCCUCCAGUCUUCUCUGGGGAGCUGCUGUCUCUCCAGGACCACAGGGGCUCAGCAGCAUCCAAAAAGAAGGAGAGUGUUCACCCCAGUACCCCAGAAAGCCAAGACAAAACCAGA
rnacentral:lncRNA from 1 species